GUGGGGAAUAUUGGACAAUGGGGGGAACCCUGAUCCAGCCAUGCCGCGUGUGUGAAGAAGGUCUUUUGGUUGUAAAGCACUUUAAGCGAGGAGGAGGCUACCGAGAUUAAUACUCUUGGAUAGUGGACGUUACUCGCAGAAUAAGCACCGGCUAACUCUGUGCCAGCAGCCGCGGUAAUACAGAGGGUGCAAGCGUUAAUCGGAUUUACUGGGCGUAAAGCGCGCGUAGGUGGCCAAUUAAGUCAAAUGUGAAAUCCCCGAGCUUAACUUGGGAAUUGCAUUCGAUACUGGUUGGCUAGAGUAUGGGAGAGGAUGGUAGAAUUCCAGGUGUAGCGGUGAAAUGCGUAGAGAUCUGGAGGAAUACCGAUGGCGAAGGCAGCCAUCUGGCCUAAUACUGACACUGAGGUGCGAAAGCAUGGGGAGCAAACAGGAUUAGAUACCCGAGUAGUCC
rnacentral:rRNA from 1 species